CUCCGACGUCCAUCGUGUGGACCAUCUUGUCAGGAGGGAGCAAGAAGCCUUCUCUCUGGAAGCGUUCCUGCAGCUUCCUCAAGUGGGAGGGCAGCUGCCCCCCUGGCUAUGCCUGUGCUAACCCUGGGAGCAGAAGAUCAUCACCCCAGGUUCCUACAGAGAUGCCUCCUCCCCCUUGAUACGCACCUUAACCAGAAAGACUCUCCUCUUUCAUCGUGAGAGCUGGUUGGAUUAUGACCUGAGAGGCCUGGAUUCGAAUCCCCACUCAGAAAGGAAGCUAACCAGGUGACAAUGGGCCCUUCAACAUCUCUCAGCCUAACCUACUUCACAGGGUUGUUGUGGAGAUGAAAUGGGGAGGCGGAGAACCAGGUACAACAUCACCUUACGCUCCUGGGGGGGGGGAAUGGUAUAUUAAUGUAAUAAAUAAAUGUGCCAAGCAAAUAAGACUUGGGGGGAGUGAGGACUUAAAUAGCUAGUGGAAGGGGCCUUGAAAGAGAUAGUUGCCACU